rnacentral:rRNA from 1 species
GGAAUUUUGGACAAUGGGCGAAAGCCUGAUCCAGCAAUGCCGCGUGCAGGAUGAAGGCCUUCGGGUUGUAAACUGCUUUUGUACGGAACGAAACGGUCUUUUCUAAUAAAGAAGGCUAAUGACGGUACCGUAAGAAUAAGCACCGGCUAACUACGUGCCAGCAGCCGCGGUAAUACGUAGGGUGCAAGCGUUAAUCGGAAUUACUGGGCGUAAAGCGUGCGCAGGCGGUUAUGUAAGACAGAGGUGAAAUCCCCGGGCUCAACCUGGGAACGGCCUUUGUGACUGCAUAGCUAGAGUACGGUAGAGGGGGAUGGAAUUCCGCGUGUAGCAGUGAAAUGCGUAGAUAUGCGGAGGAACACCGAUGGCGAAGGCAAUCCCCUGGACCUGUACUGACGCUCAUGCACGAAAGCGUGGGGAGCAAACAGGAUUAGAUACCCCAG